rnacentral:rRNA from 1 species
UACGUAGGGUGCAAGCGUUAAUCGGAAUUACUGGGCGUAAAGCGUGCGCAGGCGGUUCGCUAAGACAGAUGUGAAAUCCCCCGGGCUUAACCUGGGAACUGCAUUUGUGACUGGCGGGCUAGAGUAUGGCAGAGGGGGGUAGAAUUCCACGUGUAGCAGUGAAAUGCGUAGAUAUGUGGAGGAAUACCGAUGGCGAAGGCAGCCCCCUGGGAUAACACUGACGCUCAUGCACGAAAGCGUGGGGAGCAAACAGG